GAAUCUGCUAAGCUCGCAAUUCGCUAUAAGGCGUUUGCACCCACAGAAAAUAUACAACCUUCCAGCAGUCAAUCGAUAUUCGAUCAAAUUCUCUUACCUAGGCAGUGUCAAGAGGUCUAACAUCCCGUAUAUGCAAACGAAGCAACGCGAUCGGUUGGAAAUUAUACGCAAGAAAAUCAAAGCAGAACGAGAGACACUUAAAUCUAAAAUUGAAAAAAUUCAGAAGCUUAUAAAUAAUUUGGAAAAAUUAAAAUCAAACCCCGAAAAGAAGUCAUAAAGACACAGUAAAUCAGGUUAGCUCUGGAAAACAGCUCUGUAGUAUCGAGCAGUUUGGAAUUCUAAUUUUUGAAAUUUUUGGCCCAUGAUGUUUGGAGCCGUCAUCAAAGCCAUAAGGCUUCUGAAAUUCAGAGAUGUCCUGGCCACAAGCGGUCUUCAACGGGGAGUAAGCCGGGACAAAACAGGAGAAGAAAAGCAUCAUUUUAAGAGAAUUGAAAUGGAACAACUGAAGAAAAUUAGGCAGAAUGUAAUUAAGGAUAUGAUGGCACAGAUCGAGGCUCUGAAAUACGAGAUCAAAACCAUUGACAGAGGGUUUUCCGAAGACAAAGAGUCAGUCAAAGAAGAGUUGUUGGAAAAAAUCGAGCAGCUAAAAACUGAAAUCGAGAAAAUAAGAAAGACGAUUGGAAAAAACGAUUGAAAGUAGGCGAUCUUUCUAGUUUCAAUCUGCCUCUGGCAUUCCUUCACAUUCCUUAACAGUAAAAUAAAUUUCAAGUAAUUUCAAAAUUUUCAUAGAUAAAUACAUUUUUGUUUGGAUAAUUCUUUUAAAUUCACCGAAAAUUA